GUAGAAGUUGUAGAGAGCCGAGAUCUCACCACUGCACUCCAGCCUGCGUGGCAGAGCAAGACUCUGUCUCAAAAAAAAAAAAGAAAAAAAGAAAAAUAAUCCACUCUUUGAAAGCCUGUCAUAUGUAUGUAUAUGUUAUGUACAAAGUCAAUCACAUUAAACAGUUAAAGGAAACAGUUCAUGAAUGCAUCUAGAUAAAUGCUGAAAAUAUAUUUAAUACAAAUUAAGUGCCAACCUCAGAUUCAAACUAGAAUUGCAGGCAGCUCCCUUACCAUAAUAAUAAUUACUUAUAUGAAACCAAUAGCCAAUGUCAUACUUAACAAUGAAAUACUACAGGCAUUCAUCUGAAGCCAGCCCUGACAUUUCCAUUCUUUUCUUUUCUUUUCUUUUUCUUUUUUUUUUUUUUUUGAGACAUCAUCCCGCUCUGUCGCCCAGGCUGGAGUGCAGUGGUGCGAUCUCGGCUUACCGCAAGUUCCACCUCCCGGGUUCACACCAUUCUCCUGCCUCAGCCUUCUGAGAAGCUGGGACUACAGGCGCCCGCCAUCAUGUCCGGCUAAUUUUUUUGUAUUUUUAGUAGAGACGGAGUUUCACAGUGUUAGCCAGGAUAGCCUUGAUUUCCUGACCUUGUGAUUCGCCCGCCUCGGCCUCCCAAAGUGCUGGGAUUACAAGCGUGAGCCACUGCGUCUGGCCUCCACUCUUUUGAAAAUCUUUACCAAGGGAUGUCUUGGUUCUCUUUCAAUGGCGGAGACAGCAUAUGUGUUUGUGCAUUACUUGAAGAUCUUCCACUCUACCAGAUGAAACUGGGAAAGGACAAUGUACCAAAGAGUAUCCAAGCACAGAAGGGAAUCUCAGUUUGAAGUUAGAAUUGAAUCCAAGAGGAAGAGAAGCAUCCUUCCUUCAGUGCCUUUGUGGUGGUGCUUGGUGAGAGAUAGUGGUGAAGGCAUUGCCUAAAGAGAGAGGCACUAACAGGCAGAGGAGUGGUUGAGACCAGUAAGAACUGCCCUGCCUGGUGGAGCAGAGGCAGAAGCUGAUGCCCAGGCUCUGCAGCAUCUAUAGGGAACUUGGUGCCUGCAGUGCUCAUCAAAUGAUCCAGAGGCCUCCUUGAACACUGCAAAACCCAGAAGAAAUUACCAUGCCAACGGAGCAGAACCAGAUCCUUUGGGGAAACACAGCGCUGGUGGAAGAACUAUAGCUCCAGCCACAGCUGAACUACAUUUUCUAGCAAUCCUCAGAAUAAGAUGUGGUCAUUGACUGAAUUCUGGACAAUGGAAUGGAGUAGAGUGAAAUACAUCACUCCUAGGUUUGGCCUGUCAAAUCUCAUGCACAAUUCUGUACAUUCAUGUGCCAGCCUCUCCUCGGGUGGGGACUCCAAGCACUUUGGAGUUGGUGGAGCCACAAGAUGGAUCUGAGAUCUUUGCUAAGGUAGGGUUUCCCUGGCUGGCCUAUAGCUGACUGUGACAUAAGAGAGAAAUAAAUUUUGAUUUUCUUAAGCUCCCAAAAGUUUUGAGAUUGUUUGUUACAGCCAUGAGUCUUCCCUGAUUAAUACAAAUGCAAUGUCUAUUCUGUGCCAGCCUUAUUCUGGGUACUAGGGAUGCAACAGGAAACAAAUAAGAGACAUGAUUCCUCCUCUCACAGGAGAUACCUUAUAAAAGGGGUGGCACACAAUAAACAGUGACAACUUACAUUUGCAUGGUGCUUUACUGUUUACACAGUGCUUUCAUGGGCACCAACUCAUUUAAUUUUUUUUUUUUUUUUGAGUUGGAGACUUGCUCUGCUGCCCAGGCUGGAGUGCAGUGGUGCAAUCUCGGCUUAUUGCAACCUCUGCCUUCCAGGUUGAAGCGAUUCUCCUGCCUCAGCCUCCCGAGUAGCUGGGAUUACAGGUGCAUGCCACCGCACCUGGCUAUUUUUUUUUUUUUAUUUUCGGUAGAGACGGGGGUUUCUCCAUGUUGCCGAGGGUGGUCUCGAACUCUUGACCUCAGGUGAUCCACCUGCCUUGGCCUCCCAAAGUGCUGGGAUUACAGGCAUGAGCCACCGUGCCUGGCCCAAUUUUUAUAACAAUAUUUUACAGAUAAGGAAACAAAAGCUCAAAGAUUUUAAGUGUCUUGUAUGAGACAAGGAAUUACGAACUAGACAAAUCAAUCAGUUUUCUGGCUCCCAACCCAUUACUCACAAUGAUUCUCAAGUAUGAGGAUAUGACAGAGCAAGGAAAGUGCUAAUCCUUGUUAGAAAAUUCCAUUAUUCAAUUUUAUGUCUUAAAAUAAUGUAUUCCACACAAGUGUAAGUCUAUUCAUGGAAGCAUUGAUUGUAAGGGCAAAAUACAGAAAACAAAGAUUUAAAUAUCCAUUCGUAAGAGAAUGCACAUAUUGUGAUAUAUUCAGAGAACAGAAAAUUAUAUGGUAGGGAAAAUAAAGAAAUUAGGGAUUCAAGUAUCCCUAAUUUCAAGGAUGAAUCUCACAAUCAUGAUGAAGAAUAAUGAAGGCAAGAAUGAAGAGUACAGAGUAUAAUGCCAUGACAAAGGUUUAAGGUCUUCAUGGGAAUGAUAAACACCAAAUUUAGGAUAGUGACUCUGCAGAAGAGAAGAAGGCCGAUGCAAUCAGAGAGAGUUAUGCUGAGGAGAUCAACUGUAUUGGCCAUAUUUCAUUCUUAAGCUGGGUGGUGAAUAUUACAUUAUUCUGGAUUAUCUUCCUUUUGUCCGUCUGAAUCUGUUUUCUACCUUCUCAUUUCUGCCCUCUGUCCUGAGAGGCUGACUUGUGUGGUCUUCUAUAGGAUCAAUGGGCUCCUUGUCCCAGCUUUCAGAAGAUCAUAAGGUGGAAGAGAAUGAAGUCUCAGCUUCCUGACUUUUUAGGAUGACUUUGGGCUGGCCAGGUCUCUUAAGCAGAGGUCACAUCUCCUGUUUGGAGGCCCUCUCUACCCAGCCCACUGUGAGUUUUGGUAAUUGCCCAGUCCCCUUGUGCCUGCAGGGCCAGAAAUGGAAAUGUCCUAUUGUUAACACUCAGUUACUACACCAUUCCUUACAGUUUUCCGAAACCCUGCCACCCAAGCUGGAGUGCAGUGGCUGGAUCAUAGCUCACUGCAGCCUUGAACUCUUGGGCUCAAGCAAUGCCAGGGAGCUGAAGCUAAAGGCAUAUGCUACCACCUGUGGCUAAUUUUAACUAUUUGUUUUUAA
rnacentral:lncRNA from 1 species